AGUUGUAUCCUGGCUCAGGAUGAACGCUGGCGGUAUGCCUAACACAUGCAAGUCGUACGAGAGUUUUUAACUCAAGUGGCGGACGGGUGAGUAACACGUGAGAAUUUGCCUUCAGGAGGGGGACAACAACUGGAAACGGUUGCUAAUACCCCAUAUGCUUUCGAGUGAAAUGAAUUUAUUCGCCUGAAGAGAAGCUCGCGGCUGAUUAGCUUGUUGGUAGAGUAAUAGCCUACCAAGGCGACGAUCAGUAUCUGGUUUGAGAGGACGACCAGACACACUGGAACUGAGACACGGUCCAGACUCCUACGGGAGGCAGCAGUGGGGAAUUUUCCGCAAUGGGCGAAAGCCUGACGGAGCAAUACCGCGUGAGGGAAGACGGCCUAUGGGUUGUAAACCUCUUUUUUCAGGGAGGAAUCAAUGACGUGUACCUGAAGAAUAAGCAUCGGCUAACUCCGUGCCAGCAGCCGCGGUAAGACGGAGGAUGCAAGUGUUAUCCGGAAUCACUGGGCGUAAAGCGUCUGUAGGUGGUUGAACAAGUCAACUGUUAAAUCUUGAGGCUUAACUUCAAAAUCGCAGUCGAAACUGUUUGACUAGAGUAUAGUAGGGGUAAAGGGAAUUUCCAGUGGAGUGGUGAAAUGCGUAGAUAUUGGAAAGAACACCGAUGGCGAAGGCACUUUACUGGGCUAUUACUGACACUCANAGACGAAAGCUAGGGUAGCAAAUGGGAUUAGAUACCCCAGUAGUCCUGGCCGUAAACAAUGGGAUACUANAUGUUGAACAGAUCGACCUGUGCAGUAUCA
rnacentral:rRNA from 1 species